GUUGAUCCUGCCGGACCCGACUGCUAUCGGAUUGGGACUAAGCCAUGCGAGUCAACUCCGCAAGGGGUGGCGCACGGCUCAGUAACACGUAGUCAACCUACCCUGGGGACGGGGAUAACCUCGGGAAACUGAGGCUAAACCCCGAUGGGCCAUGGCUCCUGGAAUGGGCUAUGGCUGAAAUCUACAUGGCCCCAGGAUGGGACUGCGGCCGAUCAGGUUGUUGGUGGGGUAAUGGCCCACCAAGCCUAUAACCGGUGCGGGCUCUGAGAGGAGGAGCCCGGAGAUGGGCACUGAGACAAGGGCCCAGGUCCUAUGGGGCGCAGCAGGCGCGAAACCUCCGCAAUGGGCGAAAGCCCGACGGGGUUAGUCCGAGUGGUCCCUGCUGAAGGGGCCUUUUGCCAGCUGUAAAAAGGCUGGCGAAUAAGGGGUGGGCAAGUUUGGUGUCAGCCGCCGCGGUAAUACCAGCACCCCGAGUGGUCGGGACGAUUAUUGGGCCUAAAGCAUCCGUAGCCGGCUUAGCAAGUCCUCCGUUAAAUCCAACGGCUUAACCGUUGGGCUGCGGAGGAUACUGCUAAGCUAGGGGGCGGGAGAGGCGAGGGGUAUUCCCAGGGUAGGGGUAAAAUCCGUU
rnacentral:rRNA from 1 species